rnacentral:tRNA from 1 species
UGGGGUGUCGCCAAGUGGCAAGGCAGCGGUUUUUGGAGCCGCUAUUCGUUGGUUCGAAUCCAGCCACCCCAGCCA